rnacentral:rRNA from 1 species
CCUACGGGGAGCAGCAGUCGAGAAUCAUUCACAAUGGGGGAAACCCUGAUGGUGCGACGCCGCGUGGGUGAAUGAAGGUCUUCGGAUUGUAAACCCCUGUCAUGUGGGAGCAAAUUAAAAAGAUAGUACCACAAGAGGAAGAGACGGCUAACUCUGUGCCAGCAGCCGCGGUAAUACAGAGGUCUCAAGCGUUGUUCGGAAUCACGGGGCGUAAAGCGUGCGUAGGCUGUUUCGUAAGUCGUGUGUGAAAGGCGAGGGCUCAACCCGCGGACGGCACAUGAUACUGCGAGACUAGAGUAAUGGAGGGGGAACCGGAAUUCUCGGUGUAGCAGUGAAAUGCGUAGAUAUCGAGAGGAACACUCGUGGCGAAGGCGGGUUCCUGGACAUUAACUGACGCUGAGGCACGAAGGCCAGGGGAGCGAAAGGGAUUAGAUACCCCAGUAGUC